rnacentral:rRNA from 1 species
UACGGAGGGUGCAAGCGUUAAUCGGAAUUACUGGGCGUAAAGGGCCAGUAGGCGGCCAACUAAGUCACACGUGAAAUCCCCGGGCUUAACCCGGGAACUGCGUGUGAUACUGGAUGGCUUGAAUUCGGGAGAGGGAUGCAGAAUUCCAGGUGUAGCGGUGAAAUGCGUAGAUAUCUGGAGGAAUACCGGUGGCGAAGGCGGCAUCCUGGACCGACAUUGACGCUGAACGGCGAAAGCUAGGGGAGCAAACGGG